rnacentral:guide_RNA from 1 species
AGAUCAUACACAGUGAUAGAUACAUAAUGAUGAACGUGAUUAAU